CCCUUCCGGGUCAACACCUGACACAGGUCCAGUACACCUUACUGGACCUGUGUGGACCCUGUUUUGAUUAACAUGAAACAUCAGGCUGUUCUUAAGGACCAGUGCGGAGGACCCCAGCAGCUCCUCGUACUCCGCCUGCAGCGCUCUGGACUCGGGGACUCCGUCUCUGUCCCCGCCCUGUCCCUCCAGAGCUCUGUCCACCAGCUCCCCAGACCUGUCCUCUACGCCUGUCCCCGGGAAGAACCUGCCCAGGUCCCGUCUGUCUCCGAGCAUCACAGUUCCUUCAGACGGACACCAGAGGUCACCGUCUCUCGGGCAGAGCAUGGCCCGCAGCGUGAGCGACUACAGCCGGGUCAGAGAGGGCUCGGCCGCUCAGCAGCGCCUCCCUGUGUCCGAGAGCCUGCCCUGCAGCCUGCACCACGCCCCGGUACAGAUCGCAAUUUGGAAGUUUCACUGACCAUUUCUGACAGAAAUGAGGAACUAUUUGUUGCAAGUUAUGCAUAA
rnacentral:lncRNA from 1 species